rnacentral:misc_RNA from 1 species
GUGAUCUUGGAGAAGUUCUCUUUGAAUAAGGAACAUAAUUCUUGUUGCUUGAGUAACUCUCACGUAAACUGGGAGUGUAAUAACCUUCUUCAUUGCUGACAGUGGAGCCUUGUGGAGUAUGAAAUGCAGUGUCAUGACUCUCCUCAUCUGAUGAUGACAUUGCAGUAGGUGAAUUAAUGCUUGGAGGAGGUUGGGGUUUGCUCAAUGGUGGAAGGGGUUGAAGGUCAGGACUUGGUCUAUACCUGCUGUCCAUUCUUUUCACAGAGCUCAAUUUUCGAUAAGGUGAGCCAGUAGCAUCAUUGGAAUCAGUCAUAGCUGAUGUCUUAGCAGGUGGCUCAACUGUCCCAAUGUAAAGGAAAGUCGAAGGCGGCGUUCUUGAUUCCUCAUUGAUCCUCUGAUCAGAAUUUCUCCUCACAAGCUUUUGAGUUUCAUCUGGGUGCAUUAACCCG